rnacentral:rRNA from 1 species
CCUACGGGAGGCAGCAGUGGGGGAUAUUGCACAAUGGGGGAAACCCUGAUGCAGCGACGCCGCGUGGGUGAAGAAGCGCCUCGGCGCGUAAAGCCCUGUCAGCAGGGAAGAAAAUGACGGUAACUGAAGAAGAAGCCCCGGCUAACUACGUGCCAGCAGCCGCGGUAAUACGUAGGGGGCAAGCGUUAUUCGGCUUUACUGGGUGUAAAGGGGGCGCAGACGGCGAUGCAAGCCAGGAGUGAAAGCCCGGGGCCCAACCCCGGGACUGCUCUUGGAACUGCGUGGCUAGAGUGCAGGAGGGGCAGGCGGAAUUCCUGGUGUAGCGGUGAAAUGCGUAGAUAUCAGGAGGAACACCGGUGGCGAAGGCGGCCUGCUGGACUGCAACUGACGUUGAGGCCCGAAAGCGUGGGGAGCAAACAGGAUUAGAUACCCCAGUAGUC